GACGAACGCUGGCGGCGUGCUUAACACAUGCAAGUCGAACGGUAAGGCCCUUCGGGGUACACGAGUGGCGAACGGGUGAGUAACACGUGGGUGAUCUGCCCUGCACUUCGGGAUAAGCCUGGGAAACUGGGUCUAAUACCGGAUAGGACCACUGCCUGCAUGGGUGGUGGUGGAAAGCUUUUGCGGUGUGGGAUGGGCCCGCGGCCUAUCAGCUUGUUGGUGGGGUGAUGGCCUACCAGGGCGACGACGGGUAGCCGGUCUGAGAGGGUGACCGGCCACACUGGGACUGGGAUACGGCCCAGACUCCUACGGGAGGCAGCAGUGGGGAAUAUUGCACAAUGGGCGCAAGCCUGAUGCAGCGACGCCGCGUGAGGGAUGACGGCCUUCGGGUUGUAAACCUCUUUCAGCACCGACGAAGCGCAAGUGACGGUAGGUGCAGAAGAAGGACCGGCCAACUACGUGCCAGCAGCCGCCGUAA
rnacentral:rRNA from 1 species